rnacentral:rRNA from 1 species
GGCCAGACUCCUACGGGAGGCAGCAGUGAGGAAUAUUGGUCAAUGGGCGGGAGCCUGAACCAGCCAAGCCGCGUGAGGGAAGAAGGUACAGCGUAUCGUAAACCUCUUUUGUCAGGGAACAAAGGCGGGGACUAGUCCCCGGAUGAGGGUACCUGAAGAAAAAGCAUCGGCUAACUACGUGCCAGCAGCCGCGGUAAUACGUAGGUGGCGAGCGUUAUCCGGAAUGAUUGGGCGUAAAGGGUGCGCAGGCGGUCCUGCAAGUCUGGAGUGAAACGUAUGAGCUCAACUCACGCAUGGCUCUGGAAACUGGAGGACUGGAGAGCAGGAGAGGGCGGUGGAACUCCAUGUGUAGCGGUAAAAUGCGUAGAUAUAUGGAAGAACACCAGUGGCGAAGGCGGCCGCCUGGCCUGUUGCUGACGCUGAGGCACGAAAGCGUGGGGAGCAAAUAGGAUUAGAUACCCGGGUAC